UACGUAGGGAGCAAGCGUUUGUCCGGAAUCAUUGGGCGUAAAGCGCGCGUAGGUGGCUUCGUAAGUCCGCUGUGAAAGUCAAAGGCUCAACCUUUGAAAGCCGGUGGAUACUGUGGAGCUAGAGUCCGGAAGAGGAGAGUGGAAUUCCCGGUGUAGCGGUGAAAUGCGCAGAUAUCGGGAAGAACACCCGUGGCGAAGGCGGCUCUCUGGGACGGUACUGACGCUGAGACGCGAAAGCGUGGGGAGCAAACAGGGAUU
rnacentral:rRNA from 1 species